rnacentral:lncRNA from 1 species
GCAUGACACAGCAGAACCGCAGCUGCAGCAGCAAGUCCAAACCAUCCGCCCAGGAAGCGCCGCAACCAGGGCUUGGGAGGAGCGGAUGGGGCAAGGCAGGGGUCUAACCCAGGGGUAGUCUUGGACCCACUUUCCACCAUAAACUCCCUCUUUGCCCAGGGCAAGCCGACAAAAUGUGGUUCAAGCUGACCAGGCCGAGCCGUGGAGGAAUGCUGGGGUUCGCCCGCAGAAGGGAUGGGACCAGAGAGGAGGGGUAAAGGAGACCCCAGUAAAGGGCAGGCCAUUUCAGGUGAAGAAAGGUCAUGGCUUCAUACCUCACUUCCUGACACAAACAAGUUUUUACUGUUGUCAGCAACAAAGCCCUAAUAUAGCCGCGGAAGAGAAAAACUGCCUUGCAUUUUGCCUCUUGAGAGCAUCAUCAACAGUUACCGGAGGAAUGUAAUUCCAGAAAGCUCCGAAACUGGUAGUGAUGGUAAUUAUGGACCAAAUGCCCGGUUCUGGUUGUUAUUUUCUGGGCAUUUCUGUUCUACCAACGAUCUGCGAGUGAGCUCACUGAGAGGGCAAAUCUGGCUUUUCUUUUUGACUUUGUAAAAUUUAAUCAGGCCUGAUAGGGAACUCACAGCUCUUGGGGGAAAAUAAAGUAGGAACCACGAAAUGUCAUUUUAACAGAGCGUGGGCUUGGUGACUGCAGGAAAGGAUUUAAGGACGCUCCUGUUCCGCUUGCUGUGUAAUGAGCACUGGCUCCACGCACGCACCGACGCCAUAGCUCCCGGAUGCAGUGGCUCCCUUAUCUGGGCUUUCGCAGCGCCACAAGCCCCUUCGGGAUGCUUCGAGGGGCUCCUGGUGGGUGGUGGUACAAAUGCUGCCGCCGCCGCCGCCGGCGGUCCUGCUGCUGUUGUUGCUGCUGCAGUCACGUGGGAGCCCCUUUAAGUUUCCAUAGAGAGGCCUCUCCGGUGUCACAUGAUGGACAUGAUAUAAUGAAACAACAUUGUGGAGAGGAAAGCAUUAGGGGAGCCCACGGCUACAAAACAAGUGAGAAGAGGUGGGAGAAAGAGAAACUACGCCACCUCCUCUGCAGCCGAGCGCACGCAGCAGCCUGGCGUGACAAGUGGGCGACGCCAGGGACAGAGAGUGGGGGUCCUCCGCCCGCUCCGGGGACCCUGUCGCCCACCGUGGUGCGCUGAGCAACUUUUAGCCGGCAGCCCCGCACCUGUCUCAGAGUCCCCAUCGCUCCCCACCAACCAUCAUGGGAAAAUUCUAGAAGAAUACGCUCUCGGAAUCUACGUGCGCAUCAUUUUCCUCCUCACUCCAGAGGAAGGAACCAGAAAAGAGAGCAAAGCGGUGUAGUGUUCAGCCUCAAGAACCCCCGUGCAUCCCAGGGAUGGCGCCCUCUACAGGAGGGUCCUUGCCUCACUUUCGGGAGUCUCUUAACUGCAUCUCGUUGAUUCCUAGCGUUAGAAGAACUGAGCUAACAGGAGUCUGCCACCUCUCUGCCUUGCUGAUGCACCCAGGCAGGGCUCACUGGUUUGCAGGAGUACAUGACCACAGAUCAGAGCCAUUGCAGGCUGCACAGAUACCUGACUCUGGGCUCUCAGGAAGACUCAGGCAGAGAUGGGGAGUCGGCCUGCAAGCUGGGACGCUAGAGCUCACGUGCAGUUCUCCAUUUAGCUAGGAGGUUUCCAGGGCAACCACCGAAGCAGUAAUUAAAGAUGAAGAGCUAAAAGGUAAGUACUUCCAAACCUGAAUCCUGAAGGAGGUGGUCCGCAGGCUGGUGUCACAGUGUGCACUCUUAUUCACUUAACAUUAAGUAAAUAAUUUUUUAAAUACAUUUUUGAAAACCUCUGAUGAGAGGAUACACACUAAAUUAGGAUGUUCAUGCUCUGCUUUGAUUUGUAUCUUUUCACGCGCGCACGUAUUCUUGUAUGUACGUACACACCACACACACACACACACAUUUUUAUGCUUCCACCAGCCAGUCAUGGGACCAGGCAUUGGGAUACCAGGGCUUAAGGUGUCUUUCGGGUUCCUGUUUUGAACGUCCUAGCAUGCAUGUAUAUAUAUAUACAUACAUACAUAUAUAUAUAUACACAUUUAAGGCAUGCAAACGAGCAACUGCAGAGGCGUCUACAGUACUUAGCGUGUAGCAGGAACAUCCAGGCUCUCCAGGCAGUUCACGGGUGCUUACACAGCCUGACGAGGUGCUCGCCGUGCCGCCAUCCUUUCCUUGAGCGAACUGUACCCUGGGUUAUGAACCUUGUUUGCCUGAUAGUUCAGGGCAUCAGUGCAGUAACAGGGCUGAUGAGAGAGAGCUCCACCAAAGCAGCAGCGCCAUUGAGAAGGUAGAAGACAGCUAUUUUAACGGAAGCUUCAGAAGCUCAUGAGUCUAUUCCCAGGAGUAUGGGUAAAGUUUGCUCAUGCAAAUGCUGCAUUUCAUGAGUCCAUGGGUUAAAGCAGUUACGGACCCUGGAAGAUGGGAGAUACUUACAAAAAGCAAAGCCCAGAUCUCCACACCUUCAAAGAGAAGAUGCUCAAAUCUCCAAUUUUCAGACCAGUGCUUUUUUCAGUUAUGCACUGGUAUAUGGCUGAAACUGUAGGUGGCAUGGGAGACUUUGGUAAGUGUAGGCCCUAGGAUAUCUGUCCCACCAUUUUCCCUGUAACAAAAGUAAGGAAUCUGUAA